GGUUAAGCGACUAAGCGUACACGGUGGAUGCCCUGGCAGUCAGAGGCGAUGAAGGGCGUGCUAAUCUGCGAUAAGCGCCGGUAAGGUGAUAUUGAACCGUUAUAACCGGCGAUACCCGAAUGGGAAACCCAGUGUGACUCGUCACACUAUCAUUAACUGAAUCCAUAGGUUAAUGAGGCGAACCGGGGGAACUGAAACAUCUAAGUACCCCGAGGAAAAGAAAUCAACCGAGAUUCCCCCAGUAGCGGCGAGCGAACGGGGAGGAGCCCAGAGCCUGAAUCAGCAUGUGUGUUAGUGGAAGCGUCUGGAAAGGCGCGCGAUACAGGGUGACAGCCCCGUACACAAAAGCGCAUGUGCUGUGAGCUCGAUGAGUAGGGCGGGACACGUGGGUAUCCUGUCUGAAUAUGGGGGACCAUCCUCCAAGGCUAAAUACUCCUGACUGACCGAUAGUGAACCAGUACCGUGAGGGAAAGGCGAAAAGAACCCCGGCGAGGGAGUGAAAAAGAAACCUGAAACCGUGUACGUACAAGCAGUGGGAGCACCCUUUGGGGUGUGACUGCGUACCUUUUGUAUAAUGGGUCAGCGACUUAUAUUCUGUAGCAAGGUUAACCGUAUAGGGGAGCCGUAGGGAAACCGAGUCUUAACCGGGCGUUAAGUUGCAGGGUAUAGGACCCGAAACCCGGUGAUCUAGCCAUGGGCAGGUUGAAGGUUGGGUAACACUAACUGGAGGACCGAACCGACUAAUGUUGAAAAAUUAGCGGAUGACCUGUGGCUGGGGGUGAAAGGCCAAUCAAACCGGGAGAUAGCUGGUUAUCCCGAAAGCUAUUUAGGUAGCGCCUCGUGAAUUCAUCUCCGGGGUAGAGCACUGUUUCGGCUAGGGGGCCAUCCCGGCUUACCAACCCGAUGCAAACUGCGAAUACCGGAGAAUGUUAUCACGGGAGACACACGGCGGGUGCUAACGUCCGUCGUGAAGAGGGAAACAACCCAGACCGCCAGCUAAGGUCCCAAAGUCAUGGUUAAGUGGGAAACGAUGUGGGAAGGCCCAGACAGCCAGGAUGUUGGCUUAGAAGCAGCCAUCAUUUAAAGAAAGCGUAAUAGCUCACUGGUCGAGUCGGCCUGCGCGGAAGAUGUAACGGGGCUAAACCAUGCACCGAAGCUGCGGCAGCGAACGUAUCACCCAAGACAACUUUACGGAGUUGACGAUUGACGGAGCGAAGCGACGUCAAAGCGUUCAUUAAAGUCGAGUUGGCUUAGGGAUACGUUCGUUGGGUAGGGGAGCGUUCUGUAAGCCUGUGAAGGUGUGUCGUGAGGCAUGCUGGAGGUAUCAGAAGUGCGAAUGCUGACAUAAGUAACGAUAAAGCGGGUGAAAAGCCCGCUCGCCGGAAGACCAAGGGUUCCUGUCCAACGUUAAUCGGGGCAGGGUGAGUCGACCCCUAAGGCGAGGCCGAAAGGCGUAGUCGAUGGGAAACGGGUUAAUAUUCCCGUACUUGGUGUUACUGCGAAGGGGGGACGGAGAAGGCUAUGUUGGCCGGGCGACGGUUGUCCCGGUUUAAGCGUGUAGGUGUGUGUUCCAGGUAAAUCCGGUUCACUUUAACACUGAGGCGUGAUGACGAGGCACUACGGUGCUGAAGCAACAAAUGCCCUGCUUCCAGGAAAAGCCUCUAAGCAUCAGGUAACAUCAAAUCGUACCCCAAACCGACACAGGUGGUCAGGUAGAGAAUACCAAGGCGCUUGAGAGAACUCGGGUGAAGGAACUAGGCAAAAUGGUGCCGUAACUUCGGGAGAAGGCACGCUGACACGUAGGUGAAGUGAUUUACUCACGGAGCUGAAGUCAGUCGAAGAUACCAGCUGGCUGCAACUGUUUAUUAAAAACACAGCACUGUGCAAACACGAAAGUGGACGUAUACGGUGUGACGCCUGCCCGGUGCCGGAAGGUUAAUUGAUGGGGUCAGCGCAAGCGAAGCUCCUGAUCGAAGCCCCGGUAAACGGCGGCCGUAACUAUAACGGUCCUAAGGUAGCGAAAUUCCUUGUCGGGUAAGUUCCGACCUGCACGAAUGGCGAAAUGAUGGCCAGGCUGUCUCCACCCGAGACUCAGUGAAAUUGAACUCGCUGUGGAAGAUGCAGUGUACCCGCGGCAAGACGGAAAGACCCCGUGAACCUUUACUAUAGCUUGACACUGAACAUUGAGCCUUGAUGUGUAGGAUAGGUGGGAGGCUUUGAAGUGUGGACGCCAGUCUGCAUGGAGCCGACCUUGAAAUACCACCCUUUAAUGUUUGAUGUUCUAACGUGGACCCGUUACCCGGGUUGCGGACAGUGUCUGGUGGGUAGUUUGACUGGGGCGGUCUCCUCCUAAAGAGUAACGGAGGAGCACGAAGGUUGGCUAAUCCUGGUCGGGACAUCAGGAGGUUAGUGCAAUGGCAUAAGCCAGCUUGACUGCGAGCGUGACGGCGCGAGCAGGUGCGAAAGCAGGUCAUAGUGAUCCGGUGGUUCUGAAUGGAAGGGCCAUCGCUCAACGGAUAAAAGGUACUCCGGGGAUAACAGGCUGAUACCGCCCAAGAGUUCAUAUCGACGGCGGUGUUUGGCACAUCGAUGUCGGCUCAUCACAUCCUGGGGGCUGAAGUAGGUCCCAAGGGUAUGGCUGUUCGCCAUUUAAAGUGGUACGCGAGCUGGGUUUAGAACGUCGUGAGACAGUUCGGUCCCUAUCUGCCGUGGGCGCUGGAGAACUGAGGGGGGCUGCUCCUAGUACGAGAGGACCGGAGUGGACGCAUCACUGGUGUUCGGGUUGUCAUGCCAAUGGCACUGCCCGGUAGCUAAAUGCGGAAGAGAUAAGUGCUGAAAGCAUCUAAGCACGAAACUUGCCCCGAGAUGAGUUCUCCCUGAGACUUAGAGUCUCCUGAAGGAACGUUGAAGACGACGACGUUGAUAGGCCGGGUGUGUAAGCGCAGCGAUGCGUUGAGCUAACCGGUACUAAUGAACCGUGAGGCUUAACCUU
rnacentral:rRNA from 1 species